rnacentral:rRNA from 1 species
GAUGAACGCUGGCGGCGUGCCUAAUACAUGCAAGUCGAGCGAACAGACGAGGAUUUUGUUCCUUUGACGUUGGCGGCGGACGGGUGAGUAACACGUAGGUAACCUACCUAUCAGACUCGGAUAACUUCGGGAAACCGGAGCUAACACCGGACAAUAUUUCGAACCGCAUGGUUCCAUAGUGAAAGGUGGCUUUGCUAUCACUUAUAGAUGGAUCUGCGCCGUAUUAGCUAGUUGGGACGGUAAGGGCUUACCAAGGCAACGAUACGUACCCGACGUGAGAGGGUGGGAAGCUCCACUAGACCGGAGAUGCGGUACGGACCACUCUGGGAGGCGACGGAGGGGUAUCUACCACAGUGGGCGGGAGGCUGGCGGAACAACGCCGCGUAGGGGAUAAAGUUCUGCGGAUCGGAAAACUCUGUUACUUGGGAAGAGCAAUCGUGUAAGUAACGGGGCACGUCUUGACGGUACCUAAUCAGUAAGCCCCGGCUAACUACGUG